rnacentral:rRNA from 1 species
AUGGCUCAGUCGGACUCAAGAGCGGCUGGACUAGAGGACACCAUCGUCUUCACAUCACAUAUGUCUAUUGAAUUUGAUGAGCGAAGGGCAUGGAGCCAAGAAGGUUGGAUCGUGCGGUUGUUAGAAUCCUCGCAGUGUGUUGAACCUCCCAAUGGAGCUGCUGUGUUCGGCAAUGGCCAUGUGACGGACAGAGCGAGAGGCACAUCAUCAUGGCCAGACGCAACAAGGGAUGUUGGCUCGGAUAAAAAGGAUUGCAACAUUGGUAGUACUGUUGAUAGGAUGGUUAGUUUUGGAAGGGGAAUGGUAGUAUGCGCAGAGAUUGAAAACAAGGCUGCAGUGCAAACACUCUUGCUCAACCAAUUUAAGCUCAGUGUCAGCUCUUUGUGCUCUUUCCUUCUUGCUGAACCAAUGUUUCCUCAUGAGCCCCAGAAGCAUCCAAUCUCGCCUUUGACGCAUUGCCGGAACACCUUCCGCCGUCCGCACGUGCUCCACACUUCGCCGGAAAUUCUUCUGCAGGUUUUCCAUUUGAGGCUAUGCGAUGAAGCUGAUAGAAUUGCUAGAAAUCAGAAGAUGAACAAUGGAAUAGAGGAGACAAAAGUUGUUGCGGCUGCCAUGCGCAAUGAAGGAUGGGUACGAUGGUCAGCGGGAUGGGAUGCAACGGCUCGCAGGGGCAGCGCCUUCGGCGGCAGGCGCUGGGGCAAUGAAUUCUCCUUGUGCGUUGGAGUCAGUUGCAUGCUAACUGGACAAUGCGUUAGCUUGUUCUGUACUUACUCUGUAGCUACCAGUGAUCAAAGUUGGAAGCCCAAUGUGUACUGCUCUAAAUUGCUUCAGCGAUCAGGUGUCCUGCUAUAUGGACCUCCAGGCACUGGGAAGACAUUACUUGUGAAAGCAGUAGCAACUGAGUGUUCAUUAAACUUUCUUAGCGUAAAAGGUCUAGAACUAACAAACAUGUAUGUUGGAGAGUCAGAGAGGAAUAUCAGGGACAUCUUUUAG